rnacentral:lncRNA from 1 species
AGCGUGCCGAGGAAAGACAGGUAUUUUUUCUAAGAUUAAUCACAUUUAUUUAGUUAAAAAAGAGAUACAACUCUGCUAGUGCAAAUUAAUUCAAAACUCCCAAGCUCUUUAUUUUCUAAUUACCUCAAUUUUAAGAUAAUUUAUUUUCUCAAUCAAAAACAACGCUUCUUUCUUUUACCUUGCAAUCUCAACUUAGCCCAAGGUCCCUGAGGAUACGAUCUCGACUCAUCCUACCUACGUAGUGAGUAGAGUUAUUUUUUUGGUGCUAUCAACGACUACG